GUCAAAGGUGCCUAACCAAACCCUUAUGCCAUUUCUGGUGGAAUCCCUAAUCUCCGCGGCGUACUUUCCCCAUGGUCUCUUUCGCACUCCUCUGAAAGAUUUCUCUUUCUUGAGUUUGGAAACGGAAACUUCUUCUUGGUAAGUGACUUCCUCUUCUUUAGUUCCGGUAGUGGAGUUGGAUUCUGAGAAUUCUUUUUUGGGUUCUUGGGCUAGAGCAUCGAAAACAAGGAUUUCUUCGGAGUCAUUGCCGUCGAAUGGGAGGGAAUUGGUGUGGUAAAGAAAAGGCUCUUCCCAAGAAAGAAAUUGUAAAGAAUCGAAAGAGAUCUCUGGUUUCAGGUAUUGAUGAAAGAAAGAAGGUUCCAUCUGGGGUUUUAAUGGAGUUUUCUUGGUUCUUGAAUCUUGUUGAGUUGCUAGCUAUGUGGUGGUGGUGUUAUUGACAAAAUUUCAUUACCUAACUAACCCUUUAUAUACAAGGAAAAGAGAGGUUAUGGCUAUUGC
rnacentral:misc_RNA from 1 species